rnacentral:rRNA from 13 species
UGAAACGACUAAACCACGUUGAAUUAUUAUACCGGUUUCUGUCCUAUCACCUAAGUUAAACAACGUCGGGCGCAGUCAGUACUUGGAUGGGUGACCGCUUGAGAACACCGCGUGCCGUUGAGU